GGAGGACCUGCAGAGAGAGAAUGGCCGUCCGUCUCAGGGCCCCCUCGGCCUCCUCAUGUCUUCUGGGCCCUUCCUUCUGCAGGGGACUUGAGUCAGCCUGGCCCUGGUCCUCCCCCCACCCCCCCUACUCUGGACUCCCCCUCCCCGGGGCCUUGCUGGCUUAGGACCAGAGGGACCAGACGUUCAUCUGGCUCAGUCCCCCUGACCUUCAGACGAGGACACCGGGACCCAGAGAUGCCCAUCUCCAGGAUGUUCUCCCAUAGGCCGGGGGUCCCGAGGCGUGAAGAGUACUCUUGCUAAGUGCCAGGGGGGAGCAGCCGGCCUGGAUAGCAGAGGAGGAAGCUGAGACACCCCCCACCCCACCCCCAAUUCAAACUCGGCCUUCUUUUCCUUCUGCUCCCAUGGAGCCCCGGCUCUCUCAGCUCCUGUGCUUCUUGGGUCCUACCCCUACUCCAUUCUACACCUGAUCCAGCUCUGUGUGCGAGGAGCUGGCCUCUCCCUUGGGUGUCCCCACCCUCUGUCCCGCUAAAUCCAUCGUCUAGCUAACCGGCCUGCCCAACUUGGAUGGCUUUCUGCCUAAAUGGCCUGCCCAGCUUUCUAUUCCCGCAGUGGCUACUCAGCUCCUACGAGAAAGACCUUUGUGGUUAAAUCCUUCCCACCCCCAAGGGAUUCCUCCCCUAAUUCACAAGUAUAAUGCCGGCUCAGGUAGUAUCUCCCCAGUUUCCUGUCUGGGGUCUCCCUAUCCUCUCUUCUCUCUGCCCACUGCUUUGUUCCCCCGCUCCCCUUGUUUUAUCCUGGUCUCUCCAUCCUUGCCAGAGCCUGAGGAAGGCUCCAAAACUCCUGUCUCCCCCACUAGCCUCUCUCCUGAUUGCCUAGAAUGUUCCCUGCCUGCCCCCUCGCCCACGAUAGAAGCUGGAGGGGAAUCCACUGGUUUGCAGCCCUAGCUUCCUUUCCGGGAGCCUGCCCAAAGGGUUCCUGGGCCUGCCACUGAGCAGAAUGUGGAGUCUCUCCCAGUUAGAACUCUGGAAGAGUAACCCGGGGAAUUCUGGGUGACUUUUAAAAUUUUAAUAGUAUUUUAUUUUUCCUAAUACAUGCAAAGAUAGUUUUCAACAUUCGCCUUUGCCGAACCUUCCUCCCCUUCCCCAAGACAGCAAGCAGUCCCUUAUAGGUUAAACCCGUGCAGUUCUUCCAAACAAACACUUCUAUAUUGCUAAUGGGGAGCUUCCAGUUAAGCACUGGGAAUCAAUAAUCAGUAUUUAUUAAAUACGAGGCAUUUUGCUCGACGAUAGUGAACCUUUCAAAGCUUUUCCAUCCAACUCCACGCUCUGGAUCAUCUUAGAAGAACAUAGAACUUGAAGAUGGAAGGCCUUAGAGAGCGAGCCCGAUCCUUUCUUUUUACAGAAGCGGAAGGUAGAAAGCAGCCCUGUAAAAGACUCAGCAGCCUUCACACCAGAAGUACUAGUUUUCCCUGCACGUCCCUUCACCCCAUUGCCAGAGUUAGAUCGGUGGAGUUCGGUGUUUUGGACGCUCUGCUGGAAAGUGUCAGAGAGCACAAGUUAAUAUUGAUUCCUAAAUGGAAGCCUACAGAGCCUUUGGGCUGACCUCAUUGUUGUAUGACUGGGAAACCUGCACCAGCCACCAGCACAUCGGGAAACUGAAUCGCUGCCAUGGAAUUGUCUUAGGAAGAUUCUGGAGAUCCCCUGGCAGCCUAAGGUCCCAGACACUGAGGUCUUCUCUUGAGCUAAACUGCCAAGUGUUCCCACUCUACUGUAGAGGGCCCAGCUCUGUUGGGCUGGUCACAGUGUUCUAUUGCCAAGUGUGUAUUUGCCAAACAAAUUUAUUUUAUGGAGAAAUCUCACAGGGCAAACGCUCACGAGAUGGGCAGAAAAAAACAAUACAAGGACACUGUCGCUCUGAAGAACGUUAGAAUCAAUUGUAUGACAUGGGAAAGCCCGGCGUGGAACCGCCCAGCAUAGCGUACCCUUAACAGAGAAGGUACUGUGCUCCACAAGCAAAGUAGAAUUCAUUUAGCUUAGAAGAAAUGUAAGAUACACAAAAGUAGAGAAGCCCCCCUGCCCCACAAGUGUUCAUAGGGACUAUUUGUGUCCGCCCUGUGGCCAAGCAUUCCAAGCUUGUCUGAUCAGCCACAGUUGGACAACAGCAAUUUGGUUCUAACAUAGUGAGAUCAUUUUGGUCCUCUUCGAGAACAAAGGACAACAAGAAGUGGAAACUGAGGCAUAGAGUAUGGUUGGCCUGAGGUCCCACAACCAGGACAGGCCUUAGAUUCUGAAUUGGUGCUCUUUUCAUUUGUACAUAACUCUUUGAGGGCAGAAAGUUGUUAGGAUUAUUACAAGGUAUUAAGUCAAUGGAAUUGAUAGACAAUAGUUAUCUAAUUUAGCAUGGUUCAGUAUGAUUGAUUUCAUGCUACAAGGAGAUAUUACGGGCCAGAACUUGAAACAAGGCACUAAGUGGAAUUGAGGAAACAGUGGUUAAAUGUUUAAAGUGGUUAAACAAAUAACGGUUUCCUAGUGAUAUAAUGAUUGGUAUAUACGCAGUGUGGGGCAUAUAAGCAAGAAGCUCUCAGGGCCAGAAGGGACAAGCACACUAGAAGUUCUUGCAGCCUCAGCCAGGACUCAAUUGGGGAGAUUCAGAAGCCAGAGAAGGCAGUCAGGGAGAAUGAGGGAAGACCAGAGAAGUGGUGGCAGGCUGAAACCAAGACACAUUCAGGAGGACCUCAAGAAGCUGGCAGAAGCAGAGAAGACAAAGCUUUGGCAGCAGAAGCUUAAACUCUCGGAACCAAGGAGAGAGAGAUAGGCCUCUAAGAAAGCUAACUGGGUCACAGGAAAGGAGACAAGACUUGGAAAGAGACACUAAAAGAUUUGGACUUUAAUACCUGGCUGCAUUUGGGGUGAUUGCUGAAAUGAAAUGAAGGCUGCCUCCAGAGACCCCAAGAAACCUGCUCCCAGGUAAUAUUACAUUUCAGAGAAGAAUAUUACACAAAGUGUCUUUGCUUUUGUAUUUGCAUUCUGACACAUAGUAUGUGCUGGAUAAAUGCGCUUUCAUCCAUUCUU